rnacentral:rRNA from 1 species
CCUACGGGGGGCAGCAGUGAGGAAUAUUGGUCAAUGGGCGAGAGCCUGAACCAGCCAAGUCGCGUGAGGGAGUACUGCCCUAUGGGUUGUAAACCUCUUUUGUCGGGGAGCAAAAGCCGGACGUGUCCGGCUGUGAGAGUACCCGAAGAAAAAGCAUCGGCUAACUCCGUGCCAGCAGCCGCGGUAAUACGGAGGAUGCGAGCGUUAUCCGGAUUUAUUGGGUGUAAAGGGUGCGCAGGCGGAUUUUUAAGUCAGCGGUAAAAUCGUGGGGCUCAACCCCAUCCAGCCGUUGAAACUGGGGAUCUUGAGUAUGUUUGAGGCAGGCGGAAUGCGUGGUGUAGCGGUGAAAUGCUUAGAUAUCACGCAGAACCCCGAUUGCGAAGGCAGCCUGCCAAGCCAUGACUGACGCUGAUGCACGAAAGCGUGGGGAUCAAACAGGAUUAGAUACCCCUGUAGUC